rnacentral:rRNA from 1 species
GAUGAACGCUGGCGGUAUGCUUAACACAUGCAAGUCGAACGGUGCUUUUGGGCACAGUGGCGGACGGGUGAGUAACGCGUGAGAAUCUGGCUUCAGGUCUGGGACAACCACUGGAAACGGUGGCUAAUACCGGAUGUGCCGAGAGGUGAAAGGUUAACUGCCUGAAGAUGAGCUCGCGUCUGAUUAGCUAGUUGGAAGUGUAAUGGACUCCCAAGGCGACGAUCAGUAGCUGGUCUGAGAGGACGAUCAGCCACACUGGGACUGAGACACGGCCCAGACUCCUACGGGAGGCAGCAGUGGGGAAUUUUCCGCAAUGGGCGAAAGCCUGACGGAGCAAUACCGCGUGAGGGAGGAAGGCUCUUGGGUCGUAAACCUCUUUUCUCAGGGAAGAACACAAUGACGGUACCUGAGGAAUAAGCAUCGGCUAACUCCGUGCCAGCAGCCGCGGUAAUACGGAGGAUGCAAGCGUUAUCCGGAAUGAUUGGGCGUAAAGCGUCCGCAGGUGGCUAUGUAAGUCUGCUGUUAAAGAGUCUAGCUCAACUAGAUAAGAGCAGUGGAAACUACAAGGCUAGAGUACGUUCGGGGCAGAGGGAAUUCCUGGUGUAGCGGUGAAAUGCGUAGAGAUCAGGAAGAACACCGGUGGCGAAGGCGCUCUGCUAGGCCGUAACUGACACUGAGGGACGAAAGCUAGGGGAGCGAAUGGGAUUAGAUACCCCAGUAGUCCUAGCCGUAAACGAUGGAUACUAGGCGUGGCUUGUAUCGACCCGAGCCGUGCCGUAGCUAACGCGUUAAGUAUCCCGCCUGGGGAGUACGCCGGCAACGGUGAAACUCAAAGGAAUUGACGGGGGCCCGCACAAGCGGUGGAGUAUGUGGUUUAAUUCGAUGCAACGCGAAGAACCUUACCAAGGCUUGACAUGUCGCGAAUCCUGGUGAAAGCUGGGAGUGCCUUCGGGAGCGCGAACACAGGUGGUGCAUGGCUGUCGUCAGCUCGUGUCGUGAGAUGUUGGGUUAAGUCCCGCAACGAGCGCAACCCUCGUUUUUAGUUGCCAGCAUUAAGUUGGGCACUCUAGAGAGACUGCCGGUGACAAACCGGAGGAAGGUGGGGAUGACGUCAAGUCAGCAUGCCCCUUACGCCUUGGGCUACACACGUACUACAAUGCUCCGGACAGAGGGCAGCAAGCAUGCGAAUGCAAGCAAAUCCCGGAAACCGGAGCUCAGUUCAGAUCGCAGGCUGCAACUCGCCUGCGUGAAGGAGGAAUCGCUAGUAAUUGCAGGUCAGCAUACUGCAGUGAAUUCGUUCCCGGGCCUUGUACACACCGCCCGUCACACCAUGGAAGCUGGUAGUGCCCGAAGUCAUUACUCCAACCCUUCGGGGAGGAGGAUGCCUAAGGCAGGACUGGUGACUGGGGUGAAGUCGUAACAAGGUAGCCGUACCGGAAGGUGUGGCUGGAUCACCUCCUUUUUAGGGAGACCUACACCCCUUACAGUUCGAAAAGCAUACAGCUAUAUAGAACGUGAGUUGGUCAUUCCUUAGGUCGGUCG